rnacentral:lncRNA from 1 species
UUAAUGCCACCAAAUCCGCCCACAUUAGGAUUACUCGUUAAUGGUUGAUCAAAUUGGAUGGAUUCACCCUCUGAAACAAGAAGUUCUAGUCCUGGAGGGAUAAUAUCAACCACUUGACGUCCAUCCGAUGGAUCUGUUAUGAAUAUUUCAUAUCUCCCCUUUUCUUUUCGUAUGAUUUUGCUUACUACACCCGCUGUUGUAGCAUUAUAAACUGUAUUGUUACUCUUGCUUCCGUCGGGAUAAAUCUGACCUGGUGUAAGU